GGUAGUAUGGUUCAAAUGGAGAGUGCCAGCCUAAUAAGCACGAGGCCCUGAGUUCAAAUCUCAGUACCACUA
rnacentral:tRNA from 1 species